CAGUCACAGCAAGCUCACUUCACAGGAACCAAGCUGUGGGCUGAUCCUACAGACUUGAAAAGACAACUCAAAAAGGUUGGCUGUGAUAGGUGUCCCUGGCCACGUCAGUGGAGCACCCAGGCCUCAAGCAGCAUGCUGGGGAAGGGAAAACCCCCCAUUCUGGUGAUGGAGGUGGCCAUGACCAUGUCUGGUUUUCAAAGGCAGCUUUGUAAGAACAGAAACCAGCAGCUCCCCAACAUCUGGCCCUAUCUGCUGUGCAAACCACAGGGACCAGGACCUUUCCGGGGUGCCAGUGGCAUCCUCUGGAACCAGCUUCUCAGUGGAAUUUCAGAUGCUAUUCCUGGUCAAUUGCCUUUGCUAUGUGCUAUCCUUUAAUAAAUUCUGUUUCUCCUCAUA
rnacentral:lncRNA from 1 species